CUUCGACUUGCUAAUAAGAGCAUAUUUGCAAAUAUAUAGAAUGAGGAACGAAACCGUAUCAUAACAUAAUGAAUCCAACAAUUUUUAAUUGUGUACCUUUUAUUAUAGAAUCGUUGUUAGUAAUAUCCUUAUUAUUUUUUCCUCUCACUGUUUCAGUCUCAAAUGAUCCAAUGUAACCAAAGAGUACCCUCAUGCAUGGUGCAUCACUUCGACACCAAAAAACUAGAAAAACAAUAAUUUUUUAUUUUUGUGUUACAUUUUAUUCCCUCCAUUUGCUGACUCAGGAGGAUUGGCCAACUUUAGAACGCAGGUCUUAAUGUCUUUGAGCAAGUCCAUUUUAACCGAAUCGGGAAUACUUUCAGUUGCAGACUGCAAGGCGCUCUCAUAUAGCUUUUGAAAAUCAAUUUUAGAAUCGGAAUUCACAAUUCCCCGAGUGUAGUCACGUAAUUGAGUUGUCCAACCGCAGGAU